GACGAACGCUGGCGGCGUGCUUAACACACGCAAGUCGAACGGAAGGGCCCUGCUUUUGUGGGGUGCUCGAGUGGCGAACGGGUGAGUAACACGUGAGUAACCUGCCCUUGACUUUGGGAUAACUUCAGGAAACUGGGGCUAAUACCGGAUAGGAGCUCCUGCUGCAUGGUGGGGGUUGGAAAGUUUCGGCGGUUGGGGAUGGACUCGCGGCUUAUCAGCUUGUUGGUGGGGUAGUGGCUUACCAAGGCUUUGACGGGUAGCCGGCCUGAGAGGGUGACCGGCCACAUUGGGACGGAGAUACGGCCCAGACUCCUACGGGAGGCAGCAGUGGGGAAUAUUGCACAAUGGGCGGAAGCCUGAUGCAGCAACGCCGCGUGCGGGAUGACGGCCUUCGGGUUGUAAACCGCUUUCGCCUGUGACGAAGCGUGAGUGACGGUAAUGGGUAAAGAAGCACCGGCUAACUACGUG
rnacentral:rRNA from 1 species